CCGCCAUGCUGCCGCUGCCGCCGCGCCUCCGCCUGCUCCUCCGUGAGGGGCUCCCGCCGCUCCCUCAGGCUCCCCCAUCCCCGCCUGCCCCUCGCCCAAUGCCGCCUUUCACCUUCACCCCCCGCCGCCUCCAGCUCGGCCCGCAGCACCCGCUGCUGGAGGAUGGGGACGUGCACAGGCACCUCUACCUGCAGGGCGUCCUCACCAGCCUCGAGGAGGUGGCCGAGAGGCCCAGGGUGUCCGAGUUCAGCUGCCACAUCUCUGGCUGCAGCCAGGUGUUUGACACGCUGGAGGGCUAUGAGCACCACUACAACACCCUGCACAGGAAUGUCUGCUCCUUCUGCAAGCGCUCCUUUCCCUCUGGGAACCUCCUGGACAUCCACAUCUUGGAGUGGCACGACUCCCUCUUCCAGAUCAUGGCUGAAAAGCAAAAUAUGUACCAGUGUCUGGUGGAAGGCUGCACGGAGAAGUUCAGGAGCAGCAAGGACAGGAAGGAUCACUUGGUGACUGUGCACCUGUAUCCUGCUGACUUUCGGUUUGACAGGCCCAAGAAGGCGAAAAGUGGCUCCAAGCACACAAACUCUCCCGUGGAGCAGGGCAGCAGCAUUCCCAUGGAUGUGAGUGUGGAGAGGGCAGAGCAAUCCCAAGGGAAUGCCAUGGAAACAGGGCCUGAGGAGAGCAUGGAGAUCUCCCAGCCUGCAGCCAGCCCUGGCCCCUCACUGCCAGAGAAACGGCUCUACAAAUCCAGGAUCCCAUCCACAAUUUGUUUUGGACAAGGUGCCACCCGAGGAUUUAAAGGACCACGGAAAAAAGUCUGAAGGUCAGUGCAGCAGAUUUGUACAACAUGGAGCCAGUGCCACCAGGGAUAUUUCCAGUUCCCACUCUGGAAUAAACCAGCCAAACCAGUUAAAGCUCUGCCAGCAUUUGGGCACGUGUUCCUGAUGUCAAACAUCACCCAUCUGAGUUAAGAAUCCUCAAUAUUUGAGGAAGAAGAACCCAGAACAUGUGGUAAGGUGUUAAGGAAACUGUCCUGCAGCUGAGGCUGCACAGGAUUGGGUAUUUUAUUUUUUGCCUCUUGGGGGUAAAAAAAUGGAUUGAAGAAGUUACAAGAUGACAAGGGGACUGUAUGGAAGCUGGAAUAACUGAGAAGAGAAAAUGGGGGGAAAAACCCCAUUGGUUCUCAGUUCUGACUUCCUCCAUCUCACUGAAAUCUCCUCUGCACCCCGGCACCUGCUCUGAAAGGUCUGUCUGGGCCAGAAGAAGCAUUUUCACAGGGAGUUGAAAUAAAGUGACUUCCAAGCAGAAAUCGUGCACUGGCAGGAGGACACGGAGCUGCCUGGAGAGCCCAGAGGUGCACGGGGUGCCAUGUCCCUGAGCAGCGGGACCUGGAUCGAAUCGGGGCCGGGAGGGACACGGGAUGGGCGGGACGUGGAUCCACCAGGGACAGGAGGGACUCGGGAU